rnacentral:misc_RNA from 1 species
AGCAGCCGCGGUAAUUCCAGCUCCAAUAGCGUAUAUUAAAGUUGUUGCAGUUAAAAAGCUCGUAGUUGAAUUUCGGGGUCUGUCCGUCGGUCGGGCUUCACAGUCCGUACUGGUGUGAUGGGUUCCUACCUUCUGAAUAACCGGCAUGCCAUUCAGUUGGUGCGCCGGGGAAGCAGAGCUAUUACCUUGAAAAAUUAGAGUGCUUAAAGCAGGCUAGUGCUUGAAUAGAUUAGCAUGGAAUAAUAAAAUAGGACGGCAUGGUUCUAUUUUGUUGGUUUCUAGGAUCACCGUAAUGAUUAAUAGGGAUAGUUGGGGGCAUUAGUAUUCAAUUGUCAGAGGUGAAAUUCUUGGAUUUAUUGAAGACUAACUUCUGCGAAAGCAUUUGCCAAGGAUGUUUUCAUUAAUCAAGAACGAAAGUUAGGGGAUCGAAGACGAUCAGAUACCGUCGUAGUCUUAACCAUAAACUAUGCCGACUAGGGAUCGGACGAUGUUAAUUUUUAAUGACUCGUUCGGCGUACCG